GAUGAACGCUGGCGGCGUGCCUAAUACAUGCAAGUCGAGCGAACGGACGAGAAGCUUGCUUCUCUGAUGUUAGCGGCGGACGGGUGAGUAACAUGUGGAUAACCUACCUAUCAGACUGGGAUAAUGUCGGGAAACCGGAGCUAAUACCGGAUAAUAUCUUGAACCGCAUGGUUCAAAAGUGAAAGACGGUCUUGCUGUCUCUUAUAGAUGGAUCCGCGCUGCAUUAGCUAGUUGGUAAGGUAACGGCUUACCAAGGCAACGAUGCAUAGCCGACCUGAGAGGGUGAUCGGCCACACUGGAACUGAGACACGGACCAGACUCCUACGAGAGGCAGCAGUAGGGAAUCUUCCGCAAUGGGCGAAAGCCUGACAGAGCAACGUCGCGGGAGUGAUGAAGGUCUUCGGAUCGUAAAACUCUGUUAUUAGGGGAGAACAUAUGUGUAAGUAACUGUGCACAUCUUGACGGUACCGAAUCAAAAAGCCCCGGCUAACUACGUG
rnacentral:rRNA from 1 species